AAUCAACGCUGGCGGCGUGCCUCAGACAUGCAAGUCGAACGAUUAAAGCUCUCUUCGGAGAGUGUAUAGAGUGGCGCACGGGUGAGUAACACGUAAGUAAUCUACCUUCAAGUGGGGAAUAACGUCCGGAAACGGACGCUAAUACCGCAUAAUGCAGCGGCAUCGCAAGAUGACAGUUGUUAAAGAUUUAUCGCUUGAAGAGGAGCUUGCGGCAGAUAGCUAGUUGGUAAGGUAAUGGCUUACCAAGGCUACGAUCUGUAA
rnacentral:rRNA from 1 species